rnacentral:rRNA from 1 species
CAAUAGCGUAUAUUUAAGUUGCUGCAGUUAAAAAGCUCGUAGUUGGAUUUCGGGUGGGAAUGGCCGGUCCGCCGUAUCGGUGUGCACUUGCUACGCCCACCUUGCUGCCGGGGACGUGCUCUUGAGUUCACGCUCGGGACACGGAGUCGGCGAGGUUACUUUGAGUAAAUUAGAGUGUUCAAAGCAGGCCUACGCUCUGAAUACAUUAGCAUGGAAUAACACGAUAGGACUCUGGCCUAUCUUGUUGGUCUGUAGGACCGGAGUAAUGAUUAAGAGGGACAGUCGGGGGCAUUCGUAUUUCAUUGUCAGAGGUGAAAUUCUUGGAUUUAUGAAAGACGAACUACUGCGAAAGCAUUUGCCAAGGAUGUUUUCAUUAA